CUCCUAAAUGAACUUUCUGAGUUCUUGUCAAUACACUUGACCCUUACCUGAGCAGUGAUAGAUGUCAAUAUAAAUGUCAGUAUAGUUGGAUAUUAAGUAAGCCCCCAAAAAAUUGUGUAACCCCGAUCAACAAAAGUAACAAAGAUAUCGAUUUCUUAUUUACAAGAAAAAAAUGAAAACAAGAAAUAGAAAAAUAGAAAUGUUUUAUUUUUGUUUGCUUUUAUUUUUCCAUUUUUAGUUUUCAAGGGAAGGGAUAGAGAGUGGAAGGAAAUAGAAGAUGAAAAAAAAGAGAAUGCUCUGGGGUCAGAAUAAGUAGAAUACGAAAUAUCCAGGAUUUGGAGAAGAAAAAAAAAAGAGAGAAAUAGACAUGGCAGGUGAUUACUGACUCAAAAAUGAACUUUUGUGUAAUAUGCCCAAAAGAUUGAAGGAUUAUCACUGCAUGUUAUUUUCUGUAACUCAAUUGUAGAUCGGUCCAUUAUUUUUCUCUUUGGCUCUUUCAAGGGCAUAAUUAAGGUUUAAUCUUGCUUCCUCUCAUGCAUAUUUUUCUAUAUACUGUCUACUAUACUAAUAGCUAUCAUACUGAGAUGGGGUAUCUCUACUGUUACCCAAAGUCAUUGGAGAUUCUAGGUUAUAGCUCACACAAGGGAAUAAUGAUUCCUAUCUCUCAAAGAAAUGAACCCAAAAGAUUAUCAUCUAGCCACCACUUCUCUUUAGAAAAAUGUAAAUACAGAGAAGUGAUAUGCACAUAUAAAAUUAUAUGAAAGUCUGAAAGUGUAGAGCAAUACCUGUAGAAAAUUCAAGGUUAGGAAGAAUAAAGUUCUCACAAAAUCAAAUUUUUAUUGCUGUAUGUAAGGAAAGACAGCUCAAAACUGAAGGCCAUUUAGACAUGUGUAUCCAUGUAUUUAUGUGUAUACACAUUAGACAUAUGUGUAUUUCCACUCUUCACUUUAUUAUCCUUUCUUCAUGUUCACACUUGUAUUUACACAUACACACACACUCCUCCUCUUCAGAAGGUUCCAUCUGAAAACGUAUAUCCCUUCUUCUUGACAAAUCACUCCCUAUUCACAGGAGAAACUGUUGCUUCAUGAUUGCUUUAAAAUUGUCAUUCUCACCUAACAUCAUAUGCCUCUGUCAGGAGGACAAGGGUGUGUUUGCUUUUGCAGAGAAGUGAAGGCUUAAGGUGGGUCAUGAAAUUUAGCCAAUGGAGAUGAACCAAAUUCUAAUCCAACGCUUUCUUAUUCAAGAGCAGAUCAGCAGGCUUUCUUACUUAGUAGUCUAUUAACUUAGCACCUCUGUCUAAUACCUUACUUUCUCUCUGCAGCAAAAUGGCAUAUUGGAGAAAGAAUAUUCUCUCUGUUAGGGAGGAUUUGGUCUUGUCCUCUAAGCACAAUGAUGUACUAUUGUUGUGCUGAGGAAUAUUGGUCAUUGUUCCGCUCUGCCUGAGGCCUGUGUCACAAAGAAACUGUAACAAUGGCUGUUCUUUUAGUUUACUAAGGAAAGAGUAGAGACUCACUCAGAUUUCAGGUUUUGUUUUUUUUUUCUUUUUGAGUGGGAGCUUCGUAGGAGCUUGCAACUGUCGUAAUGGAAGAAACACACAGGAAAAGAAGAAUCAGAAUUAUUUAAAUCCUUUCUGAAAUUACUCACUCUGAAAUCUAUAAUCAGUGUAUGCAAAGCCUUAGACUAAGUUAUUUCCCUGUCAAAUCAAUCAUAAAGGAAAGAAAUAGUUCCCAAUUCUAUAUUUUAUCCAGAAGUACUGAAACAAAAACACAAUAUUAAUAAUAUUUUGCCACAUUUAUAUUUUCUGUGUCUAUGAGGAUUUACAAUUACCUAAAACAUUUAUCAAAAAUGAAACAAAUGCAUACCCUUUUAAAACUACUUUUUUUCUUUCAACGUAGCAUAGAUCAUUUUUAUUCAUCUCUUUCUUACUCUCUACUUAUUGUUUCUUCCUCAUACUUUGUGUGAUUUUUCAGGCUAGCAUGUUUGAAAUAUAACGGAACCAGCUAAUAACAUGUUUCAAUUUUCAAAAAUAAAACUAUAUCAAUAUAAAUUUAUAUGAUUAUACACAGCCAUAUUAAAAAUAUAUGUUACUGUUAUUUCAUACUGCUUUAUAUAGAAGGAUACUCAUAUUCAAUUACUUAUAGAAAAUAAUACAAUAUUCUUUUUCAAGAGUAAACUCAGAAUCUAGGGCAUGUUUCUCAAUGGAGCUGUGCUUUCCACAAAGGCACAUUGUAUAAAGGCAUGGAGGUAUUUUCACUUGUCAUAAUUAUUGUGGAGAUGUUCUAGGCAUGAGCUUUUAAUGCUAAAUGUUUAAAGGUCAUAAGUUGGUAGAACAUUAUUAAGACUUUUAUGUUCUCAAAUUUUUAAUGACCCACAGCGAGUCAUGAGGUCGGAUUUUUUUUAAAUAUCUAAUUUUAGAAUCAGAUUGCAUUUUUACAAUAAAACAUAACUCAUUUUUGCAUUGUUUUAAUAUAUGCUGAUUUUUUCCAAGAAUACAGUAUUGGGUAAAUGCAGACAAGGCCUGCUUUCUUUCUAACUUUAGCAUUCAAAAAUUAUACACAUGCACAUGCACACGUGCACACACAUAAACUUGGCCCUUAUAUCAAAAUGUCAAAUAUAGAAAAAUAGUCUAACUUGUUGAAAGUUUUCUUACUUUUAAUAAGCAUAAUUUAAACACAUUCUGUCUACUUAAUUUUGUAUACUAAGUUAUAUAAAUAACUAUUACUAUAUACAUGGGGAGAUUUUCUUUUUCUUUUAUUCUUACUCCCUCUUUUCCUGACUCUCUGCCCUCCUGUUGUGGCAAAUCCUGUGAAAACUUACUCAUUCUAGAAAGCUGAGACCUAUACUUGGUCAUAGUAAUAGUGAAAUGCCAAAUCAAUAUUAUAAUUUUGCUAACUUCAAUUGCUUUUUCAGUUCCGUGGUAACUGCCCUCUUUCCAUUAUACAUAAAAAGAAAAAUACCAUCUUUUUCCACUCAUGUAAACCCUUAUUUUCAAGAUUUAUUAAAUACCUACAAAUUUA
rnacentral:lncRNA from 10 species